UACGUAGGGGGCAAGCGUUAUCCGGAAUUACUGGGUGUAAAGGGAGCGUAGACGGUAAUGUAAGUCUGGAGUGAAAGGCGGGGGCCCAACCCCCGGACUGCUCUGGAAACUAUGUUACUAGAGUGCAGGAGAGGAGAGUGGAAUUCCAUGUGUAGCGGUGAAAUGCGUAGAUAUAUGGAGGAACACCGGUGGCGAAAGCGGCUCUCUGGCCUGUAACUGACACUGAGGCUCGAAAGCGUGGGGAGCAAACAGG
rnacentral:rRNA from 1 species